CCCAGCCCGGGCGCUACCAUGCUCUGUGCGAAAGGGGGAGAGGGGAUGAUCCCUCCCCCCCCGCCCCCGCUCUCGCUUUUGUAUGCGCGGCGUCCCCGCUGCAGCUAUGGCGACGGCAGAGCCGAGGCAGGAGAGUGAACCAUCAGUGUAAACCAUCAGUGCAAAACAAAGAAUGAAUUCUUCAAUGUAUGUUUCAGUUUCUUCUCCACACACUUACAACAUGAGUAAAAACCACGUUCCUCAAAACAUACUUGUGCAACCCAAUUUCCACCCUGCAAGCUGGAAAAGGACAUCUGUAAGCAAAAAGUUCUUUGCUUCAAGCCUGCAUGACUCCCAAGGGUCUGGCUCUGAAAGCUGUGUUCAGGAGAUACAGGAUCAGUCAGAAUCCCAGCUACAAAUUAAUGAAAAUGAAGAGCUGGUAGGACUGGAUUCUGAUGAGUUGGAGAACGAUAGCUUAGAAGAAGAUAGCUUGGAGGACAUGACUUUAAAAGAACAAGAAGGUGAUGAGUAUGAUGCAAAUCAGCAUACAUGCAGAAUACAAAGAAAUGAUGGUGAUGGAAGGAAACAACAAUCUGUGGACAAAUAUUUUAGCCUAAGAUACAAUCCUAACUGGAAGAACACAAGAGAGGCAGCAGAAUUUUCUGAGGCAGAAAAAGCACAUCAGGUUGCUCUAGGAAGCAGUGUGGAGUUUUCACAAGAUUCAUUUUACCUCCAUUCCAGUGGAUCCCCAGAAGAAAAGAGUCAACCAGAGGCAAAGUCACAACAUUCAUUCUCAAAGUUUGGUACAGAAUUACAGAGCUUUUGUGAACCAAAUGCCGUGGUCAGCAAUGAUCCUUCGAGGCUGCCUGCUGAAGGGAAGGGACCUGCAGACAACUGUCAUCUCAAAGACAGCUCCAGUACACACAGCAGUGCUUUGUCUCUUCAGAUUCAAGGUGGUCAACCACAAAGAUCAAAAACAGACUUUGUGAAAAAAAAUAAACAGACUUUAGGAUUACGUUCAGAGAUAAAUUCCUACUGUCAAUUAUACAGUAAAAAGCAAGAAGUUGCUCUUCAAGAGCAGGAUUACCAAAAUAAUUCAUCCCAGAGAAAUACAAUCAAAUCCAACCAGAGUCUCAAAGGGAGAACUGUCCCAAGGAAUGAUAGCCAGCGGCUGCCAGGAGGACCAGCAGAACCAAAGUCUUGCCACUGCAAGCACUGCCAAAUACCAGAAUUUAAGACUGCUCCCAUGCAGGCAGUGGAGCACAACAAUAACAUCACACAGCAGAAAUGGCUGCAUUCGAGUCCUUGUGUUGGCCCUGACACCAAUAGAGCAGCAAAUACAGAUACUUGCUUAAAUAAUUUCCCAAAUUCAAGACUUUUCUUUAAUCAGGAUUUUACAUCUAUCUGUCCUUUUCAUCCAACAUUACAUAAAUUUAACCCAGUGGAGGAUGUAUCUCCAGCACAUACCAGCAAGGAAAACAUGAAAUGUCAGCACGAUCCUCCAAAUGGACUUGCACAGGACCAGCAACAUUUAUACAACCAUGCCACUUUGCAGCUUUCUGCGGGAGAUGAGAGCACCAAAGGUCAAACACAUCCAAAUCAGAGGAAUACUUCAUCUACUUUUAAUGCCAGUUUUCAAGAAUUGGUGAAGAAUCAAGUAUCACGUCAGGACUGCAAAGGACACAUUUGUGUUGAUAAAAGGCCUUCUCAAUCUUCUGCUCAUAGUUCACCAACAGCCCCUCCCUGCACAACCUCCCAGAUUAUACAAAUGAUGGAGCAACACUAUGAAGAAUUCAUCUCUUUGGCAGAAGGUGACCUGGCUGACAGGAACCUGUUCAGCCUGCUUCCACCUAUAACCCCACAAGUAGCAAGUGGUUUGGAGGUAGAUCUGGGGAGCGGUGAAGGAAAACCAGUGAAAAUAAGCCGAAGGAACUCAGAAGGAUAUCCCAUGCAAACGGAAGAGCCCAAAGUCAGCAAGAAGCCAUGUAGCUCAAAAGCCUACAUGAAUCUGAAUGUGAAGCUUGGAGGCCUUGGACCUGACUAUGAAGCGAUCAAAGAGAAAAAAGAGAAGUUAAAGCAGCAAAAGGAAUAUGCAAAGCAAAUUAAGGAACACAAUAUGAAAAACAUUGCUUCAGUUCAGAGGGUACCUACAAAACUCCGGGUCACAUAUUCAGUGUCAAGACAGAAGGCACUGGAGUACGCUAAGAAGAUUCCCAGACCAAAGACUUUCGCAACAAGACAAUCAGAUGAAGAGGUGAAAGAGAAAAGAAUUCCACCAUGGACUUUAAAUGGAGACAGUUUACCUCAAAUUACAUCGUUGGAAACUUUGCAAAAUAGACACGAGAAGGAGAAGCAAAUUGUAGCUGCUUUCAGAACCCUUCAUAUCUUAUAACUAUUUAGAAAUUAUUAGGGAUAUCUUCAAGGCAAAAAUAUCUGACCUGUUUAGUUACAAGAGUCCUGGAUGAGUUUGGUCUGGAUCUCACAGUCCUCAGGGUGCCUCAGUCCUCUCCAAAGUGGAUUGACUGCUGAAACACAGCCUGCAGGAUCUCCAAUCCAUCUCCUGACCUAAUACAGGAAAAACUGACCACCAUACUGCAUCCCUCCAUCAAGGAAAAGGGACAUGGUCCUUUCUUUAAAGCCCUGCUGACCUACCUGAGAGAUAGGAAGUUCUCUACCCUGUUGGUUGCCUCCCACCACAUGCACCGAAUUGGACUGGUAGCCUUCACAGGCAAAAGUUUGUACGCACAUAAUCUUUGGGGGAAAUGUGGUGAAGAAGGGUCUUCCAGCAUGGAGAAUGUGACUCAGGUUGCAGGGGAAGUGUUUUGUGUAUCGGAGCACAGCAGUGGACAUCUUCGAACGACCACUGCAGCUUCUGGAACAGGGCCAUCCUCAACCCAAGGUUCCUUUAGGAGCUGCUUUUAGCCACUGUUUAUAGACUAUGCAUGCCCCUGGCGUGAUCCAUCAAGCUAGGUUGGGUAAAUGUUUCCAUGCUCUGCUAGUUGCUGCUUUUCUACUUUUAUUUUUAGACCAAAUGGGAACACUUUGAAGCAUUUCUGAUUAGGGAACUUCAACUUGUUGUUUCUGCUAAAAAGUGAUAAUCCCCCCUUAAUACAAACCUCAAGUACCUAUUUUAAUGAAACCUUCAGAUGAAUAUCAAAGAGCUAUUUACUCAUAUCUAAUAUUUUAAUUAGAUUAUAUUCUCAAUUUAACCCAUUAAACCCCCUUUGAUGAUCUCCAUGUUUAGUGUUUAGCCCCAGAUGCUGAAGGUAAUGAAUAUUGGACCUUUGAUUUAAUGAGAACUUCUGCCUUUCCAGCCUGAUUCCCUUUGUAUCCCCCUUUUUUUAUUUUCUGAGCUAUAGAAUUCAGUUAAUUGAAGAAGUCUCUUACCACCACACAUUAAGGAACCUAAAUUAGCAUCCCUUUUCUGAUUAGAAAAUGCAAGCAGACAUUUUCUCUUUGAUCUGAGGAUUGAGUUGAAGUAGGCAACAGCCCCCUGAAAAUGAGCUGAUGGCCUUAUUAUUUGCCUGACAUGCAGAUGCGUCCAUGUGGUGCAAAAUGCUUAAUGUCUUAAUUGAUCACCUUCCUCCCUAUCUGUCAUCCUACCUUUUAGAUCUCUCAUAAAUUAGGGUGAUCUUUCUGGGUGGGUGGUAUGUCUGGGGUGUGGGUUUUUUUAACUAAAAUAGUGAUCUUUUAGGGCACAUUUAAAUACUAAACCCCUGCUAAACUACAAGCCAUGCAUACUUAUAUGAUGCUGCAUCGGGGAGGGGAUAUAAGAACACAGAUCCUGAUCAUCUCACAAUCCAUUCGGAAAGGACUGUUGUUUUUUCUUCUCUCCCAGAAAAAGACAUUAUUUGCAGCAUAUGUGGAAAGAAAAUCUUUUGAUCUGCCUCAAUACUAAUGCAAAUUUUUCCUGUGUGUAACAGAUACAGUGGGACAAAAAGAGGCCAUACAAGUAAAUGAUGAACAUCCGUCUGCUUAAAAGCAAAGGCCACAACUUGAUGUCUUUCAAAUUAGGAAGGCAAGGAAUUUAAAUAAGAAAAAGGCCGUAAAUUUUCCAUUAAGUAUUCAGGGAGAGAUUGAGAUGGAGUAGAACCUGCCUGCUGUAGUCCUGUGGCUCCAACAGAGCUAUCACAGAACAUGGUGUCACUCACCGGGAGCACAGCUGGCUCACGGGCGCAGGAACGCAUUUGUGUGCAUCACCCAGCAGGACUUCUCAACGUCUUGGCAGGCCCGUUCUAUUGCUACUGUUUCUCGACAUUUUAGAUUCAGGAAGCCUAAAAGCUGAGGCUGCCUUCAGUAGUCAAAGAAGCAGCAUCAGCUCUACUUAGGAGCAACGCUGCUGCAGUAGCAUCACCAUCAUGUUUCUUUUGACGGUAGAUAGUCAGCUUCUCACCACUACCUCACAAAAGGUACAAACAGUUGGCUUGAAGGCUGCUUACUCCAACAAAACAUACUGGUUUAUCGGUUAAAAACAUUAAAUAAGGCAGUGCCUAAAAGCCGUGUUCUGUUAUUACAUCUCUGAAGACAAAGUGUCAAAGGUGAGGACUGCAAACAAGAUGAGAUUAGGUCUAACUCCUGCAGUGACUGAAUGCUCCAAAUAGGCUUGAGCAACCUAUAGUGUCUGAACAGCCCACAAGCUAAGCAUGUGAUCAUUAUCAUCUCCCAUUAGGGAUCAAUUCUACAGUAAAUUAUAAUCGCACAAUUGGAGGUGUCCAAUGCCAGGAUGGAUGGGGCUUGGGCAGCCUGAUCUAGUGGGACGGGUCCCUUCCCAUUGUUUGGAACUAGUGUUGUGCUGAACAACCCCAACUCCCUCAGCCUGUCCCCAUACAGGAGGUGCUCCAGC